CGGACGGGUGAGUAAUGUCUGGGAAACUGCCCGAUGGAGGGGGAUAACUACUGGAAACGGUAGCUAAUACCACAUAACGUCGCAAGACCAAAGAGGGGGACCUUAGGGCCUCUUGCCAUCGGAUGUGCCCAGAUGGGAUUAGCUAGUAGGUGGGGUAACGGCUCACCUAGGCGACGAUCCCUAGCUGGUCUGAGAGGAUGACCAGCCACACUGGAACUGAGACACGGUCCAG
rnacentral:rRNA from 1 species